rnacentral:rRNA from 1 species
GAUCCUGGCUCAGGAUGAACGCUAGCUACAGGCUUAACACAUGCAAGUCGAGGGGAAACGAUAGAGAAAGCUUGCUUUUUCUAGGCGUCGACCGGCGCACGGGUGAGUAACGCGUAUCCAACCUGCCCACCACUUGGGAAUAACCUUGCGAAAGUAAGACUAAUACCCAAUGAUAUCUCUAGAAGACAUCUGAAAGAGAUUAAAGAUUUAUCGGUGAUGGAUGGGGAUGCGUCUGAUUAGCUUGUUGGCGGGGUAACGGCCCACCAAGGCGACGAUCAGUAGGGGUUCUGAGAGGAAGGUCCCCCACAUUGGAACUGAGACACGGUCCAAACUCCUACGGGAGGCAGCAGUGAGGAAUAUUGGUCAAUGGACGAGAGUCUGAACCAGCCAAGUAGCGUGCAGGAUGACGGCCCUAUGGGUUGUAAACUGCUUUUAUAAGGGAAUAAAGUGAGUCUCGUGAGACUUUUUGCAUGUACCUUAUGAAUAAGGACCGGCUAAUUCCGUGCCAGCAGCCGCGGUAAUACGGAAGGUCCGGGCGUUAUCCGGAUUUAUUGGGUUUAAAGGGAGCGUAGGCCGUGAGGUAAGCGUGUUGUGAAAUGUAGGCGCCCAACGUCUGCACUGCAGCGCGAACUGCCCCACUUGAGUGCGCGCAACGCCGGCGGAACUCGUCGUGUAGCGGUGAAAUGCUUAGAUAUGACGAAGAACCCCGAUUGCGAAGGCAGCUGGCGGGAGCGUAACUGACGCUGAAGCUCGAAAGCGCGGGUAUCGAACAGGAUUAGAUACCCUGGUAGUCCGCGCGGUAAACGAUGGAUGCCCGCUGUGGCGCGCCUGGCGUGCCGCGGCUAAGCGAAAGCAUUAAGCAUCCCACCUGGGGAGUACGC